AGCGUACACGGUGGAUGCCCUGGCAGUCAGAGGCGAUGAAGGACGUGCUAAUCUGCGAUAAGCGUCGGUGAGGUGAUAUGAACCGUUAUAACCGGCGAUUUCCGAAUGGGGAAACCCAGUGUGUUUCGACACACUAUCAUUAACUGAAUCCAUAGGUUAAUGAGGCGAACCGGGGGAACUGAAACAUCUAAGUACCCCGAGGAAAAGAAAUCAACCGAGAUUCCCCCAGUAGCGGCGAGCGAACGGGGAGGAGCCCAGAGCCUGAAUCAGUGUGUGUGUUAGUGGAAGCGUCUGGAAAGGCGCGCGAUACAGGGUGACAGCCCCGUACACAAAAAUGCACAUAUUGUGAGCUCGAUGAGUAGGGCGGGACACGUGGUAUCCUGUCUGAAUAUGGGGGGACCAUCCUCCAAGGCUAAAUACUCCUGACUGACCGAUAGUGAACCAGUACCGUGAGGGAAAGGCGAAAAGAACCCCGGCGAGGGGAGUGAAAAAGAACCUGAAACCGUGUACGUACAAGCAGUGGGAGCCUCUUAAUGGGGUGACUGCGUACCUUUUGUAUAAUGGGUCAGCGACUUAUAUUCUGUAGCAAGGUUAACCGAAUAGGGGAGCCGAAGGGAAACCGAGUCUUAACUGGGCGUUAAGUUGCAGGGUAUAGACCCGAAACCCGGUGAUCUAGCCAUGGGCAGGUUGAAGGUUGGGUAACACUAACUGGAGGACCGAACCGACUAAUGUUGAAAAAUUAGCGGAUGACUUGUGGCUGGGGGUGAAAGGCCAAUCAAACCGGGAGAUAGCUGGUUCUCCCCGAAAGCUAUUUAGGUAGCGCCUCGUGAAUUCAUCUCCGGGGGUAGAGCACUGUUUCGGCAAGGGGGUCAUCCCGACUUACCAACCCGAUGCAAACUGCGAAUACCGGAGAAUGUUAUCACGGGAGACACACGGCGGGUGCUAACGUCCGUCGUGAAGAGGGAAACAACCCAGACCGCCAGCUAAGGUCCCAAAGUCAUGGUUAAGUGGGAAACGAUGUGGGAAGGCCCAGACAGCCAGGAUGUUGGCUUAGAAGCAGCCAUCAUUUAAAGAAAGCGUAAUAGCUCACUGGUCGAGUCGGCCUGCGCGGAAGAUGUAACGGGGCUAAACCAUGCACCGAAGCUGCGGCAGCGACACUAUGUGUUGUUGGGUAGGGGAGCGUUCUGUAAGCCUGUGAAGGUGGCCUGUGAGGGUUGCUGGAGGUAUCAGAAGUGCGAAUGCUGACAUAAGUAACGAUAAAGCGGGUGAAAAGCCCGCUCGCCGGAAGACCAAGGGUUCCUGUCCAACGUUAAUCGGGGCAGGGUGAGUCGACCCCUAAGGCGAGGCCGAAAGGCGUAGUCGAUGGGAAACAGGUUAAUAUUCCUGUACUUGGUGUUACUGCGAAGGGGGGACGGAGAAGGCUAUGUUGGCCGGGCGACGGUUGUCCCGGUUUAAGCGUGUAGGCUGGUUUUCCAGGCAAAUCCGGAAAAUCAAGGCUGAGGCGUGAUGACGAGGCACUACGGUGCUGAAGCGACAAAUGCCCUGCUUCCAGGAAAAGCCUCUAAGCAUCAGGUAACAUCAAAUCGUACCCCAAACCGACACAGGUGGUCAGGUAGAGAAUACCAAGGCGCUUGAGAGAACUCGGGUGAAGGAACUAGGCAAAAUGGUGCCGUAACUUCGGGAGAAGGCACGCUGAUAUGUAGGUGAAGCGACUUGCUCGUGGAGCUGAAAUCAGUCGAAGAUACCAGCUGGCUGCAACUGUUUAUUAAAAACACAGCACUGUGCAAACACGAAAGUGGACGUAUACGGUGUGACGCCUGCCCGGUGCCGGAAGGUUAAUUGAUGGGGUUAGCGGUAACGCGAAGCUCUUGAUCGAAGCCCCGGUAAACGGCGGCCGUAACUAUAACGGUCCUAAGGUAGCGAAAUUCCUUGUCGGGUAAGUUCCGACCUGCACGAAUGGCGUAAUGAUGGCCAGGCUGUCUCCACCCGAGACUCAGUGAAAUUGAACUCGCUGUGAAGAUGCAGUGUACCCGCGGCAAGACGGAAAGACCCCGUGAACCUUUACUAUAGCUUGACACUGAACAUUGAGCCUUGAUGUGUAGGAUAGGUGGGAGGCUUUGAAGUGUGGACGCCAGUCUGCAUGGAGCCGGCCUUGAAAUACCACCCUUUAAUGUUUGAUGUUCUAACGUGGGCCCCUUACCGGGGUUGCGGACAGUGUCUGGUGGGUAGUUUGACUGGGGCGGUCUCCUCCUAAAGAGUAACGGAGGAGCACGAAGGUUGGCUAAUCCUGGUCGGACAUCAGGAGGUUAGUGCAAUGGCAUAAGCCAGCUUGACUGCGAGCGUGACGGCGCGAGCAGGUGCGAAAGCAGGUCAUAGUGAUCCGGUGGUUCUGAAUGGAAGGGCCAUCGCUCAACGGAUAAAAGGUACUCCGGGGAUAACAGGCUGAUACCGCCCAAGAGUUCAUAUCGACGGCGGUGUUUGGCACCUCGAUGUCGGCUCAUCACAUCCUGGGGCUGAAGUAGGUCCCAAGGGUAUGGCUGUUCGCCAUUUAAAGUGGUACGCGAGCUGGGUUUAGAACGUCGUGAGACAGUUCGGUCCCUAUCUGCCGUGGGCGCUGGAGAACUGAGGGGGGCUGCUCCUAGUACGAGAGGACCGGAGUGGACGCAUCACUGGUGUUCGGGUUGUCAUGCCAAUGGCACUGCCCGGUAGCUAAAUGCGGAAGAGAUAAGUGCUGAAAGCAUCUAAGCACGAAACUUGCCCCGAGAUGAGUUCU
rnacentral:rRNA from 1 species